rnacentral:lncRNA from 1 species
AUGUCAUGGAAAUUAUUCUCUGACCCUACUGUGAAGUUAUAUAUUGUACUAUUUCCAGUUCUAGAAUUUAAGAAUCACAAUAGUCAGUUUUCUCUGCUGUUUCUUUGUAACUUUUCAGCUGAUAAUCGUUACAAGCCAUGGGACCAAAAAAAUGGCACUGAAGUAACUGAAUUCAUUCUCCUGGGAUUCGCUGGCCAGCAUAAGUCUUGGCAUGUCUUUUUCACAGUAUUUCUAGUGAUCUAUGUGACCACCCUAGUGGGUAACAUUGGCAUGAUCCUACUCAUCAAGACUGACUCUUCCCUUCACACCCCCAUGUACUUUUUCCUCCAAAACUUGGCUUUUGUUGAUCUCUGUUAUGCCACUGCUAUCACUCCGAAGAUGUUGCAUAAUUUGAUGAGCACCAAAAAUUCCAUCUCAUUCUUUGGAUGUAUGGUGCAACUGCUAGUCUAUGGUACCUUUGUAACAAGUGAUUGCUAUAUCCUGGCGGCUAUGGCAGUGGACCGUUAUGUGGCCAUCUGUAACCCACUUCGCUAUGCAACUGUCAUGUCCCAGAGAGUCUGCAGUCAACUCUUAGCUGGUUCAUACUUCAUGGGUUUCCUGAAUGCUUCUGUCAAUGUAGGUUUUACUUUCUCACUGACGUUUUGCAAGUCCAAUAAAAUUAACCACUUUUUCUGUGAUGAGCCCCCAAUUCUGGCCCUCUCAUGCUCUGAUAUUUACUUCAGCAUCACGGUACUGGCAGCCUUUGUGGGGUUUAACUUGACAUUCACUAUAUUGGUCAUCAUCUUUUCCUACAUGUUUAUCUUGUCUGCCAUCCUGAAGAUCUCUUCUGCUGCAGGAAGGAAAAAAGCCUUCUCCACCUGUGCCUCCCACCUGACAGCUGUCACCAUUUUCUAUGGAACACUCUCUUAUAUGUAUCUGCACCGUGGUACCAUAGAGUCUCAAGAGCAAGAAAAAAUGGCUUCCAUUUUUUAUGGGGUUGUGGUUCCCAUGUUAAACCCUCUCAUCUACAGUCUGAGAAACCAAGACGUAAGAGAAGCCCUAAAAGAGGUUGGAAAAAAGUGUUUCUAG